GUGGCAGCUUUUCUGUAGGUGUCUUCUUCAAGCAGAACUAUUCAUUCACUCAAUGGUUUCUGAUAGCUUGAUGGCAGAGAGCUGUCCUCUGGCCACACUGGUUUCCCUGCCUCUUCUCCUCAAUUCCCCAGAAACAACUGCAAAGUACCUAUUGUUUCUUUGCAUAAAGUGAAUUUCUUUUUUGUCAAAAAUGAAAUUUUGGAUGAACCCCUUGUCGUCAGAUGUUUUGGCAGCAUGUGUGUGUGUUCUUUGUGUGCUGUCCCAGCGCUGCGCAGAUGGUUGGCAUAGGAGACCUCAAUCGAACUGCCCAGACUUGGUUUAGAGCGAAGGCGCCCGGCCUAGUUUAUUGUCAACUCUACGAGGAUACUAAGGGCUUGAUCCAACUGGUGGUGAAAGGCCCCACAGCCUAUUCCAAUUCCUCUGAGUUAUCCAGUCUUCUGUAUCUUCUUGCCGAAGGGCAGCGAGGGAUUCUUCUAGCCCAGCAGUGACUCAGUCGGUGCACAGAAGGAUGUAAUUCACAGAGUCAGGAUGUGCUUCUGCCAGGAUACAUGAGGA